AUUGAACGCUGGCGGCAUGCCUUACACAUGCAAGUCGAACGGUAACAGGUCUUCGGAUGCUGACGAGUGGCGAACGGGUGAGUAAUACAUCGGAACGUGCCCGAUCGUGGGGGAUAACGAAGCGAAAGCUUUGCUAAUACCGCAUAAGAUCUACGGAUGAAAGCAGGGGACCGCAAAGCCUUGCGCGAACGGAGCGGCCGAUGGCAGAUUAGGUAGUUGGUGGGAUAAAAGCUUACCAAGCCGACGAUCUGUAGCUGGUCUGAGAGGACGACCAGCCACACUGGGACUGAGACACGGCACAGACUCCUACGGGAGGCAGCAGUGGGGAAUUUUGGACAAUGGGCGAAAGCCUGAUCCAACCAUGCCGCGUGCAGGAUGAAGGCCUUCGGGUUGUAAACUGCUUUUGUACGGAACGAAAAGACUCUUUCUAAUAAAGAGGGUCCAUGACGGUACCGUAAGAAUAAGCACCGGCUAACUACGUGCCAGCCGCCGCGGUAAAAC
rnacentral:rRNA from 1 species